UCCUUCAGUUCAUGGCCACCUUCUUGUUUCUCCAACUCAAAGACUCCUCCUUUCUUCAAGUCUUCUAGGCGCCAUCAUCUUGACAGCUUUCAUGAUGAACCGGGUGAAGAAAGCUCUUGGAGGAGGCGCCUUGGAUGAGGUUCGUGAGUCCUCUCCAUACACUUCUGCUUCCAAUGAGUCUCUCCAUCAGGAUAGACAGGAGAAAGGAUAAGAGACACGCCCUUCAGUCUUCUUCUCAUGGAGAAACUGAACUCGGAUGGGAAUGUCUUCAAGGGUUGGAUUUGAGCUGAGGGUAGAGCUUGUGUUGUGCGGAAGCUACAGCUCAGGUUCUGAUGAACCUGGCUCUGAUACCAUAUGAUUUUUAAAGAGAUCUCUACUCUGGUAGUAUGUGUGUGUGUAUAAGCUUCAAUGAAGAAUGAUUAGAGCUUGUUCUAGGUGAUAUAUAGGAAAGGAUUAGUGAGAGUGUUUAUGAGUAUGUGAGACUUAAGAACAGAGAUUAAGAGACUUAAGAGACUAGAGAGAAACUGAGAGAAUAAGAGACUGAAGAUUAGAGAAGGAGAAGGGAAACCCCCUUACUCACUUAGAGCUUACAAAUUGUCUCUGCCUCUUAUUUAAAUAGGACAGACUGUUUUCUACUAGGGUUUACAGUCAGAUACAUCACACAUGUGAAGUCAAACAAGGAGGAGCCUUAUUUUGAAUUCUAUGGACCAUAAGCUUCACAUGCUUGGCCAAUAGGAAGCUUGGGCGUUCCUGGUCUUUACACAGGCUGUCAUGAGCUGUCUUGUGGACUGAAUAAGCCAAUAGGAGUGAAGACCUUAUCCAUACACGGACAGCAUCUCGCCUGAUCCUUUCCAAGGCCAUCCAAGAUGCCAUUUUGAUCCCUUCUUCAUGUAUAAGGUCCAAAUGAGUUUCUCCAUGCCUUGUGACCCAAGUCAUGACCAGACCAUGCUGUACGGACUUCCUGGCCGUACACAUUGUGCCCUAAG
rnacentral:lncRNA from 1 species